rnacentral:misc_RNA from 1 species
GAACGCACCUUGCGCCCUUUGGCUAUUCCGAAGGGCAUGCCUGUUUGAGUAUCAUGAACACCUCAACUCCCCUUUCUUUUUUUGAAAUGGGAGCUGGACUUGAGUGAUCCCAACGCUUUUCUCACCGAAAAGUGGCGGGUUACUUGAAAUGCAGGUGCAGCUGGACUUUUCUCUGAGCUAAAAGCAUAUCUAUUUAGUCUGCCUAAAAAACAGAUUAUUACCUUUGCUGCAGCUAACAUAAAGGAGAUUAGUUCUUGUGCUGACUGAUGCAGGAUUCACAGAGACAGCUUCGGCUGGCCUUUGUAAACUCGAUCUCAAAUCAAGUAAGACUACCCGCUGAACUUAAG